UAGUUACAUUUUUAGUUCAGGUGUACCACCAAAUUUUGAAAAGUAUAUAAGUGUACCGCAAGUGAAAAAAGGUUGUGGAACACUGAUAAAGAUGUAUGCUUU